CUCUCUCUCUCUCUCUGUUCCUACUUUCUCCCCUUUCUUUCCUUUUCUCUUGUUUAUUUUAAUUAUAAUUUUAUUAAUACUUUUUUCUUUCAGAAAAUGAAUGCAUGGUAUCAAAUAAAAGCUGAGAGAUGAGCGACAAACUAGUGGGGGAUGAAGGGGGUGAAGGGGAAGGGAAAGAUACCAGUUCACACCCAGAACUGUUCAUUCAGCACGAAGGCAUCAUCCAACAACCAACUAGUUCAUCCUUUCACACAUUCAUUUGUCUGUUCCCACUGACAGACAUUGACAGAGAGCGUACAUUUCGAGGCGCAAAGGACUCCCUCCACUCGGGGCCGAGGGCAGAGAGCGGUAGGUGUCAAGUGCAGAGCGCGCCGAUGAUGGCCGAUGAAUGAAUGAACGUUGGGAGCAAGCAGGUCUAAGAGUCCAUGCACACAUUUCGGAGUAGAGCCCGGUGAGAGCAGCAGACACACGAGAGACCUAAACACGUUGCUGGUAUUGAAAGAAAGGGAGAAGAAGGUAAGGAAACAAGCAAACAAACAAACAAACAAUCCAACAAACAAUCCAACAAACACACAACUUACAAAAUAGGAAAAGAAAAAGAAGGUGAUUUUCCACGCAAAGAUUAUAGCAAUUGAGGAGGAAUUGCGAAGAGUAAAAGAACUCGAAACCUCCAGAGAUUCAAUGUCAAGU
rnacentral:lncRNA from 1 species